rnacentral:rRNA from 1 species
CUCCCAUCCGUGUCUAUUGUACCCUGUUGCUUCGGCGGGCCCGCCGCUUGUCGGCCGCCGGGGGGGCGCCUCUGCCCCCCGGGCCCGUGCCCGCCGGAGACCCCAACACGAACACUGUCUGAAAGCGUGCAGUCUGAGUUGAUUGAAUGCAAUCAGUUAAAACUUUCAACAAUGGAUCUCUUGGUUCCGGCAUCGAUGAAGAACGCAGCGAAAUGCGAUAACUAAUGUGAAUUGCAGAAUUCAGUGAAUCAUCGAGUCUUUGAACGCACAUUGCGCCCCCUGGUAUUCCGGGGGGCAUGCCUGUCCGAGCGUCAUUGCUGCCCUCAAGCCCGGCUUGUGUGUUGGGUCGCCGUCCCCCUCUCCGGGGGGACGGGCCCGAAAGGCAGCGGCGGCACCGCGUCCGAUCCUCGAGCGUAUGGGGCUUUGUCACAUGCUCUGUAGGAUUGGCCGGCGCCUGCCGACGUUUUCCAACCAUUCUUUCCAGGUUGACCUCGGAUCAGGUAGGGAUACCCGCUGAACUUAAGCAUAUCAAUAA